AGAGCAGGAAGAUACAUCCAUCGGACACCUCAGUGCUGUAAUUUGACCAGCAACAAAAUCUCUGGAUGCAGUAACACACCGACACACACACCCAAAUACACAUCACAGAGAAGCCACAGAAAGGAUGCUAAGAAUAGCAGAGCUAAUAGUGAUGUCAUGUCCCGUGGGAAUCGGUGGCAAGGGAUCUGUUACUGGGCUCAUCUGGUUUCAUUUUGAAUCCUGGCUGACGAAAACCACAGAUUGCAAUCAGACAUGAUCACCAACCAUUGCUGGACCAGUUCAUGCGUCGCUUAAAACAAGGCUAAAAGAUGACAUGGAUGUUCUGUCCUCCACCUCUGUAUUGUAUGAGAGAGAAGACUUGCGGGGGAUAGGGUGGGGUUACUGUGACUCAGACUUAAAUUCAGUCCCUCUGAACACAUUGAAUUGUUUAAAUGUUGCUAUAGCAACUAUGGAGAAAACAGUCAUUCUCUUGCCCUCACUAAAGCCUCAGUGUUUUGUUGUGAAAGUAUGGAGCUCAAGCAGCGGGGAUAUUUCGAGUAGUACUAUACACAAUCAUUUACCACUAGAAGAAACUCAACCUUGCCAGAUCUUUUGAUCAUUGGAUUGCAUUGAGGAAAUUGAACAUUUCCUCAUUCCCAACAAGAUAAAUCGAGCCUUUCUCAAGGUUACCAAGAAUUAGCUUUGUGAAAAACAUUUAUAUUUAGUUUUAAUCAAAGUGACUUACAAAUGAGGAAAGUA